UCUUACUUAAGUGGAAAACGAUGUGAAGUUACUUAAACAACCAGGAGGUUGGCUUAGAAGCAGCCAUCCUUUAAAGAAAGCGUAAUAGCUCACUGGUCUAGUGAUUUUGCGCGGAAAAUAUAACGGGGCUAAAGUAAGUACCGAAGCUGUAGACUUAGUUUACUAAGUGGUAGGAGAGCGUUCUAUUUGCGUCGAAGGUAUACCGGUAAGGAGUGCUGGAGCGAAUAGAAGUGAGCAUGCAGGCAUGAGUAGCGAUAAUUAAUGUGAGAAUCAUUAACGCCGUAAACCCAAGGUUUCCUACGCGAUGCUCGUCAUCGUAGGGUUAGUCGGGUCCUAAGUCGAGUCCGAAAGGGGUAGACGAUGGCAAAUUGGUUAAUAUUCCAAUACCAACAUUAGUGUGCGAUGGAAGGACGCUUAGGGCUAAGGGGGCUAGCGGAUGGAAGUGCUAGUCUAAGGUCGUAGGAGGUUAUACAGGCAAAUCCGUAUAACAAUACUCCGAGAACUGAAAGGCUUUUUGAAGUCUUCGGAUGGAUAGAAGAACCCCUGAUGCCGUCGAGCCAAGAAAAGUUUCUAAGUUUAGCUAAUGUUGCCCGUACCGUAAACCGACACAGGUGGGUGGGAUGAGUAUUCUAAGGCGCGUGGAAGAACUCUCUUUAAGGAACUCUGCAAAAUAGCACCGUAUCUUCGGUAUAAGGUGUGGUUAGCUUUGUAUUAGGAUUUACUCCGAAAGCAAGGAAACUUACAACAAAGAGUCCCUCCCGACUGUUUACCAAAAACACAGCACUCUGCUAACUCGUAAGAGGAUGUAUAGGGUGUGACGCCUGCCCGGUGCUCGAAGGUUAAUUGAUGGGGUUAGCAUUAGCGAAGCUCUUGAUCGAAGCCCGAGUAAACGGCGGCCGUAACUAUAACGGUCCUAAGGUAGCGAAAUUCCUUGUCGGUUAAAUACCGACCUGCAUGAAUGGCGUAACGAGAUGGGAGCUGUCUCAAAGAGGGAUCCAGUGAAAUUGUAGUGGAGGUGAAAAUUCCUCCUACCCGCGGCAAGACGGAAAGACCCCGUGGACCUUUACUACAGCUUGACACUGCUACUUGGAUAAGAAUGUGCAGGAUAGGUGGGAGGCUUUGAGUAUAUGACGCCAGUUGUAUAUGAGCCAUUGUUGAGAUACCACUCUUUCUUAUUUGGGUAGCUAACCAGCUUGAGUUAUCCUCAAGUGGGACAAUGUCUGGUGGGUAGUUUGACUGGGGCGGUCGCCUCCCAAAUAAUAACGGAGGCUUACAAAGGUUGGCUCAGAACGGUUGGAAAUCGUUCGUAGAGUAUAAAGGUAUAAGCCAGCUUAACUGCAAGACAUACAAGUCAAGCAGAGACGAAAGUCGGUCUUAGUGAUCCGGUGGUUCUGUGUGGAAGGGCCAUCGCUCAAAGGAUAAAAGGUACCCCGGGGAUAACAGGCUGAUCUCCCCCAAGAGCUCACAUCGACGGGGAGGUUUGGCACCUCGAUGUCGGCUCAUCGCAUCCUGGGGCUGGAGCAGGUCCCAAGGGUAUGGCUGUUCGCCAUUUAAAGCGGUACGCGAGCUGGGUUCAGAACGUCGUGAGACAGUUCGGUCCCUAUCUGCCGUGGGCGUAAGAAGAUUGAAGAGAUUUGACCCUAGUACGAGAGGACCGGGUUGAACAAACCACUGGUGUAGCUGUUGUUCUGCCAAGAGCAUCGCAGCGUAGCUAAGUUUGGAAAGGAUAAACGCUGAAAGCAUCUAAGCGUGAAGCCAACUCUAAGAUGAAUCUUCUCUAAGCUCUCUAGAAGACUACUAGUUUGAUAGGCUGGGUGUGUAAUGGAUGAAAGUCCUUUAGCUGACCAGUACUAAUAGAGCGUUUGGCUUAUCUUUA
rnacentral:rRNA from 1 species